AUGCUCAUUUUAUGCACUUUGCCCUGAAAAGCUUUCUUCCACAAAAGCAGGCUAAAAACCACUAAAAGUUUGAAAAAGAGCAGGAGUUGUAAGGAAAACAGUUCCAACAAGCUCCAUCUGAUGUGCUUUUAUUUUCCACCUUUCUCCAGGGAUGUAGGAGCAGACAAGGAAGUGUGAGGCAGCAUACAGAUCCCACAAUGGACAACAAGGGAUUAAGGAACUGCUCUGAGCUAAGGGAGCUCCACCUUGCCACACCUGCAAGGCAUGCACAGACUGAAGGAGGAGCUUAAAAGAGGAGCAGAGCCAUGCACUUAUUGGAAGAUUAGGGAAGAGAACAGGCCUCCACCUCCUAAGGAAAGGGCUUUCUGAAGGGACUACUCUGGAAGGGGAGAGACUUUAAAGUGACUUGGCUGGAGAGUAAAGUCAUAGGAAGAGGCAGACCACUACAGAGGUGGAGCAACCAUUGGAUGGAGGUAUCUGAUGGGAAAAGAGAUGCUAUGCCAUAUCUAGCCACAAGGAUGUGCUAGUGGAAUCUUCUUGUUUGGGGAACGAAGAACACCACAUGAUGUCACUCCCUGCCUUAUAAAGCUUUUGCAUAUGGUGAGAACCCUUUGUUUCAAAGCUUGGUUCCCAGACUGGUCUGUGGAAAAACAUGGACAUCCCAGGAUGGAGUCUAGAGACAUGUAGUCUCAUCACGUAUCCUUGAGAGUCCUAGCAGCCAUUACUCAGAGGCUGUUGGUAGGAAGGCUAUUCUCAGGAAGGCUCCCCAGGUGGAAGAUAAGCUUCUUCUAAGAAUCUAAGGGCUAUUUUUUUCCUAAUGUCCCAUUCCACACCCACUGUCUAGAAUUAAACAUCUUGUCUAUUUGGCACUACCCAUGUGUAACUACAAGUUUUCUGUGGACAGCUCCACUUCAUUUUUGGGAGAGCUACAGCACAGGGUUUGCUCUCCCUUAAGGGCAAUCCCAGGUUCAGCGCGUGCCUGUUCCAUGGCCUGGUCUUCCUGGGACUUGUAGCUCCCAUGGAGCAGAGGAACUAUAGGGACUAAAAAAAGGAAUGCUGGGAAAGGGACGCAAGAUAUAGAAGAAAGGCAGAGACCAAGAAUGAUUCAAGAUUUGGUUUUGGUCUUUCCACUGACGGACUCCUGGAAGAAUCUGUGGUUGUGGUUGUUAGGACUCCAGAGACAGUUCAAGGGCUGUGAAAACAACCUCAAGGAAGGGGUGGUCUUUGAUUUUGAAAGCAAAGACCAUGAAAGGCCAAGAGGGUGCCAGAGAACCACUCAUGGGCCUUACCAGUGAGGAGCCAAGAGACUGGUAAUAGGGCUCCCUGCAGUGAGGAGGUUGGGUAAAAGAGCUUGAAGGAGCUUUGGAAAAAUAGCCUCAAAUAUUCCAGAGAAGAGGCUGGGAAGCAUGCUGUUGACAUACCAGAGGGAAGAGGUGUGGUUUUUGUGGAGAGGAUUUCUUGGAAGCCUGGGUUCAGAGAGGGAGCCCUUCUAUCAAGGGGUGAAAGUUCAUUGGACUCUUGCUCACCCUGGAACUGGAAGACUUUUAAUGGUUUGCCCAGAAGACUAAAUCAAAUUAACUACCUUACAUAAAGGGGGAAGCUUGUAGUGGAAGAAGGAAAUGAGGCAACUUGAUGUCUGAGAGGUCAAUCACUGUUGUAAACUUGCAAAACAUUUAUUGUCCAUGCCUCUCUUCCUCUCCAGCCCCCACCCCCAAUAAAUGUAACCAGUAAAGUAAUAGUUUAAUAAAGAUUGAUGAUUAAAAGGUAAAUCUUAUAAUAUAAAAUA